CGGGGAAUUUUGGACAAUGGGCGCAAGCCUGUCCAGCCAUGCCGCGUGCGGGAAGAAGGCCUUCGGGUUGUAAACCGCUUUUGUCAGGGAAGAAAUCUUCUGAGUUAAUACCUCGGGAGGAUGACGGUACCUGAAGAAUAAGCACCGGCUAACUACGUGCCAGCAGCCGCGGUAAUACGUAGGGUNCAAGCGUUAAUCGGAAUUACUGGGCGUAAACGUGCGCAGGCGGUUUUGUAAGACAGAGGUGAAAUCCCCGGGCUCAACCUGGGAACUGCCUUUGUGACUGCAAGGCUUGAGUGCGGCAGAGGGGGGAUGGAAUUCCGCGUGUAGCAGUGAAAUGCGUAGAUAUGCGGAGGAACACCGAUGGCGAAGGCAAUCCCCUGGGCCUGCACUGACGCUCAUGCACGAAAGCGUGGGGAGCAAACAGGAUUAGAUAGCCCUGGUAGUCCACGCCCUAAAA
rnacentral:rRNA from 1 species